CCUACGGGUGGCAGCAGUGGGGAAUAUUGCACAAUGGGGGAAACCCUGAUGAAGCAACGCCGCGUGGGUGAAGAAGUAUCUCGGUAUGUAAAGCCCUAUCAGCAGGGAAGAGAAUUACGGUACCUGACUAAGAAUCCACGUCUAAAUACGUGCCAGCAGCCGCGGUAAUACGUAGGGGGCAAGCGUUAUCCGGAUUUACUGGGUGUAAAGGGAGCGUAGAAGGUUGUGCAAGUCUGAAGUGAAAGUCCGCGGCUCAACUGCGGAACGGCUUUGGAAACUGUGUAACUGGAGUGCAGGAGAGGUAAGCGGAAUUCGUGGUGUAGCGGUGAAAUGCGUAGAGAUCAGGAGGAAUACCGGCGGCGAAGGCAGCUUACUAGACAAUAACUGACGUUGAGGCUCGAAAGCGUGGGGAGCAAACAGGAUUAGAUACCCUAGUAGUC
rnacentral:rRNA from 1 species